rnacentral:rRNA from 1 species
AACGUAGGGGGCAAGCGUUGCCCGGAUUCACUGGGCGUAAAGCGGGUGUAGGCGGUUCUCUAAGUCGGAUGUGAAAUCCAGCGGCUCAACCGCUGAAUUGCAUCCGAUACUGGGGAACUUGAGGACGGUAGAGGUUGGUGGAAUUCCCGGUGUACCGGUGAAAUGGGCAGAUAUCAGGAGGAACACCGGUGGCGAAGGCGGGUCUCUGGGCCGAUACUGACGCUGAGGAGCGAAAGCGUGGGGAGCGAACAGG